rnacentral:lncRNA from 1 species
GUCCUAUUCUAUCUGCUAGUAAAAAAUAUUGUGAUUUGCAUUAACAAUAUUAUUAAAACUCCUUUCAAUGAAUUGAAACAAUUCCAACUCACCGAAUGAGAAUUAUUGACCAUCAAAAUAAUUUUUAUGAGUCUCACAAUUUACUAGUGACGUCUAGCAAUAUGUAGUCAUAUUUUAGUAGAAUAAAAUAGAUGAAUCUCUAGAUGUAGUUACCAUAUGAUACAGUCCUUCUAUCAGGAGUCCCGACAAGAUGAAGGUUAUAAAAUUUCUCAUCAAACCCCAUCAUCUAUCAUAUAUCAAAUUUAUUGGACUCGAGUUCUUGAUAUGAAAACUAUAAAAACUCUUUCUACUAUUCACACUAUUCUAACCAAAAUUUUCUGAACUCGAUCUCAUAAAUCACAUAGGACUAUCUUUCUUAUCUACCAAGAUCAAUAGAUUCUAUAUAAGUGCACAUCCUAUUCCUACAAUGAACUUACUGUAGCCAACAUG